GUCCGAAGUCUCCGAAGGAAGCUGAAAUCUGAAAUGUGGAAAAUAGAAAGAAUUCGAUAAGUGAAAUCAAUAUUCAGCCUAAGUUAACAAUAAUGUUUUUUAAGCUGAAAAACUGAAAGAUGAAUGGACUGGGUAUUAUGUUAACUAAAUAUUCUAAUGCAUAUUUACCAGUUCUUCCAUUUGUCAUCAUUUGCCAGACGUAAUGACGACCAUUGUUGAAGCUGGCCAGGAAUUCUAAGCUGUCAUCAAUCCUGCAGCUGUAGUAUGCAUGUUUUGUAAAUGGUGAAUCUCAAAUGAAUCCAAGAACUUUGAGUUGUCAUUUCACUUAAUUGACUUUCUUUUCCGAUUUUAAUAAUGGUGAUAUUGCAGACAUACCGUAUUGCAAGUUCUUACCUGAGCAGCUGAGCUCUUCCUUUCUGUGGUUCCUUUCAAUUGAUUCUUUUGAGUUUAUUCCUCACCACUGUUCCAGACCUUAUCCACUAGUGGAAUAUGCAAGAAAUGUUGAUUAUUAUUCCAGGUUAACCCUUGCUACAAUUUGAAGAAGUUGAUGGUUACAGAAUAUUUUUUUUUUUAUCAAUAUCAAAAAUUAGUUAGAUGUAGAUAAUUUAGAACUGCAUAUCUGGGCUCCCUUCUUUUCUGUGGCUCCGUUUCCCUAAGUAACCACUAACCAAAGCCCGCUGUGAAAUCAGGAGGACGAGGAGGUCGCUGGUCGAACGGGGAUUUGGGAUUGGGAAGGUGUAUGACCUGAGGAAAACUUUUGGAGGGUCAUGAGUCUAAUCAGGAAGUUUAGUAUGACUAAUCACAUCCUAGAAAAUUUGCAUUGCCCACUUUUUUCUUCUUCAUUGUUCAAGGAAUGUGUCUGAAUUACGUCAUAUAAUUGCGUGUGUAUUAGUGUUGUUUAUUUCAUAAUAAGACAUUAGGUAUAAUGGUUAUUAUUAAAAUGUAUGUAAUAAUUUCAGUUUUUUUUUAUAAUAUGUACAAUUUUAUCUAUAAUUAUUUAUAUUGAUAACGGUUAUUUAUGGUAAAUAUAGAUGGUGAGAUUAAAAUAUAGGAAUGCUAAAAUAUAUUAAGUUAAUUUUUUUAAAAAUUA